rnacentral:rRNA from 1 species
UACGUAGGGUGCAAGCGUUAAUCGGAAUACUGGGCGUAAAGCGUGCGCAGGCGGUGAUGUAAGACAGAUGUGAAAUCCCCGGGCUCAACCUGGGAACUGCAUUGUGACUGCAUCGCUGGAGUACGGCAGAGGGGGAUGGAAUUCCGCGUGUAGCAGUGAAAUGCGUAGAUAUGCGGAGGAACACCGAUGGCGAAGGCAAUCCCCUGGGCCUGUACUGACGCUCAUGCACGAAAGCGUGGGAGC